UACGUAGGGGGCAAGCGUUGUCCGGAAUCAUUGGGCGUAAAGAGCGUGUAGGCGGCCCGAUAAGUCCGCUGUGAAAGUCCAGGGCUCAACCCUGGGAUGCCGGUGGAUACUGUCGGGCUCGAGUCCGGAAGAGGAGUGUGGAAUUCCUGGUGUAGCGGUGAAAUGCGCAGAUAUCAGGAAGAACACCCGUGGCGAAGGCGGCUCUCUGGGACGGCACUGACGCUGAGGGACGAAAGCUAGGGGAGCGAAUGGG
rnacentral:rRNA from 1 species